GCGCUCGAUGCCUGAUUAGCUUGUUGGUAAGGUAAAAGCUUACCAAGGCUUCGAUCAGUAGCUGGUCUGAGAGGACGACCAGCCACACUGGGACUGAGACACGGCCCAGACUCCUACGGGAGGCAGCAGUGGGGAAUUUUGGACAAUGGGGGCAACCCUGAUCCAGCCAUGCCGCGUGAGUGAAGAAGGCCUUCGGGUUGUAAAGCUCUUUCAGCCGGAACGAAACGGUUACGGUUAAUACCCGUGACUAAUGACGGUACCGGAAGAAGAAG
rnacentral:rRNA from 1 species